UCUUCCAGAAACUUUGAUGGUUUGAAGAAGCUGCCAUAUACUUCUGACCACUUCUUGAGACUUGUGAAUAUAUAUUCAGAUCCAAUUGAAUCAGCCCAAAAUACAAUACCACCACUGCCAAAAAUUGGGGUUGGGGAGAGAGAAACAGGAAAAAAACUGAGUUG